rnacentral:lncRNA from 1 species
AUGCCACGUGACUACCGUCCUCCUCCCUCUCGGAUCAGUCCGCAUGUUCACGGUGCAUUUUUUAUGGAAUAUGUUGAGCAAACCUGGAGAAGCAUCAGCUCAAGAUAUUAUUGUUGUCAUUGCUGUGGAUCUUUACCUGAUACACUGACUUGGCUCGGGACCAGCACUCCUGCUGUUGGACAGAAAGACAUCAGUAAGUAUUUUGGUUUUCCAAUAUAUUAGCAACUGUCAGUGACAUUUAUAUUAAUCAGGCUGAACUUUAAUCAUACUUUAGAUCAGCCUGUUAUACUUAUUGUUUUGUUUGUGCUUUGGUUUGGGGAAGUUGUUUCUGUACUGAUCUUUUCCUGUCUUCUGUUAUUAGACUUGAGAUAUGACUGCACUAUGCUGUUGCUGGUGACCACAGUUAAUUCUACAAGACUGUGUAAGUAAACAAACAACAACAGUUUGGUCUGCAUUUCUUGAAAGAUCACAUCCCCCAAACUUAGUUUAGAGGGUCUACACUGUAUAUAGUGAAGUCUGCAAGUUUUCUAACAGCAAAAUCUGUUUUGUGCCCAAAAUCAUUUUGCACAUCAUUAGAAUGAAAGUUAUUGGCCAUGUUUGCAUAGCCUUUUUAAAAUGAUGCUUUCAUGACAUUAUUGUGUGUUGGGUGGUGGUCAGGGCUAUGCAGACUGACAAGUGGGACAUUGAAUGUCACCUCUCCGGUGGGGAGGGAGCCUGAGAUCGUCUAAAUUGGAGUCUGUUCUAUACCGAAUGCAGAAAAAAAUGUUUUAAGAAAGCAAUUAAGUUCAUGUUCCAAAAAAUAUGAUUGUUUGCUUGCAGGACAACAGGAGAGAUGAGUCCUCCGUCACAGAUGGUGUGGUCAGUGAAGAUGGUCGCCUGCAGGUUCAAGCUCAUUGCAUCUCCAACCCACAUCCACUGCCACUGUACUUAAGGGAAGUUAAAGACUUUCUUCUGCACCUACAUUUGGAUCACCUCGAUCCAUGACAGUCAUUCAGGCAGUAAUGCCUGGACUGGAAACAAGCCAUCCUUAAAAUAAUACAACAUUCCAGCUCAUGUGUUGGAAUGGAAAACAAAUGUGUUGUUUAAAUUAGAGACUGCACUUGUGACAGAACAACAAAUAUUUUAUUUUGAUUAUAUAAGUAAUGUAAGUACAAAACAAACUUGUGGUAGACCUAAACUUAUUUUCAGAAUAAUUAAAUCUGAGACUUUGUUUCAUUGUAAGAUUAUAACAGUGAUGGCAAUAUAAUUGUUUGUUGUUCAGCAGAACAGUGUCCAGUAUGUUGGCUGUUAUACUUUGUUGUGUUUGAAAAUAAAAGUUGGGCUGAUUUUUAACAUCAUUACAAAAAGUGUUGUUAAUUAUUUUUAAUCACAUUCAGGUUACACAAAUUGUUUUUUCAUUUAGUUAAACUUGAAAUGUUUGUCAGUAGGUAAACAAAUAGUAUUGUACAGUCAGAAAUAUCAAGUUAUUCUUAAUACUGCAGACUUGCAAUGUAUAAGUUGUCCUAACAGUCAUCUCAAGUAAGCUUUACUUAGUUUUUUUGAGGCAACGAGUUUCCAUAAUUUUAUUGAGUUCUGGGAACUAACAAGGCUGUACAGUGUACUCAAAAUGAGUAAGUUGCCCUAACUUGGUCAUCUUACGUAAACUUGAUCCAAUUUUUUUGAGUUCUGGGAGCAAAUGAGCUUGUACAGAGUACUCAAAGUAAAUAAGUUGUCCUAACUUAGUCAUUUUUAGCUAAGCUUUACUCAAUUUUUUUGAGGCAACGAGUUUCCAUAAUUUUUUUGAGUUCUGGGAACUAAUUAGAUUUUACAGUGUGG